rnacentral:rRNA from 1 species
UACGUAGGGUGCGAGCGUUGUCCGGAAUUAUUGGGCGUAAAGGGCUCGUAGGCGGUUUGUCGCGUCGGGAGUGAAAACCUUGGGCUUAACUCAGGGCUUGCUUUCGAUACGGGCAGACUAGAGGUAUGCAGGGGAGAACGGAAUUCCUGGUGUAGCGGUGAAAUGCGCAGAUAUCAGGAGGAACACCGGUGGCGAAGGCGGCAUCCUGGACCGACACUGACGCUGAUGAGCGAAAGCCAGGGGAGCAAACGGG